rnacentral:rRNA from 1 species
UACGUAGGUGGCAAGCGUUGUCCGGAUUUACUGGGCGUAAAGAGCGCGCAGGCGGUCGUCCAAGUCGCGUGUGAAAGCCCCCGGCUCAACUGGGGAGGGUCACUCGAUACUGAUCGACUUGAAGGCAGGAGAGGGAAGCGGAAUUCCCGGUGUAGUGGUGAAAUGCGUAGAUAUCGGGAGGAACACCAGUGGCGAAGGCGGCUUCCUGGCCUGUUCUUGACGCUGAGGCGCGAAAGCUAGGGGAGCAAACGGG